UUAAGUGAUCAGGAGAUCACUGAAGAACGAAAUUACAUUUGAAAUCUGUUUGAAACAACAUCAUUGUCUCUCUUUUUCAGAAAAUGUUGCUGUCCUGACCCCAGUAAUCAUGAAGAGAAGGGGAUGAAGCGAAUUUGUCUGGAGAAGUAGGAAAUUUUAAAAUUUCCAGCAGGAUUUAUUGCCAGUGGCUGCAGAAGGUUUUGCAAAGCCAACUGUUGGUGUUAGAAUGGAUGAAAUUCCUCAAACUUAAGCGGUAUGAAACAUCUAAAAUACUUCUAUAA
rnacentral:lncRNA from 1 species